UACGUAGGGUGCGAGCGUUGUCCGGAAUUAUUGGGCGUAAAGAGCUCGUAGGCGGUCUGUCGCGUCGGUCGUGAAAACUUGGGGCUUAACCCUGAGCUUGCGGUCGAUACGGGCAUGACUGGAGUUCGGUAGGGGAGAUCGGAAUUCCUGGUGUAGCGGUGAAAUGCGCAGAUAUCAGGAGGAACACCAAUGGCGAAGGCAGCUCGCUGGGACGGUACUGACGCUGAGACGCGAAAGCGUGGGGAGCGAACAGG
rnacentral:rRNA from 1 species